rnacentral:rRNA from 1 species
CUCGUAAACCCCUGUCAUUUGCGAACAAACCUUGCGAUUUAACAGAUCGUAAGCUGAUUGUAGCGAAAGAGGAAGGGACGGCUAACUCUGUGC